GGACCAUCCAAACGUUAUUCGGAAUUACUGGGCUUAAAGGGUGCGUAGGCGGCGCGGAAAGUUCGGUGUGAAAUCCCUCAGCUUAACUGAGGAAUGGCGCUGAAAACUACCGUGCUCGAGGAAGACAGAGGUAAGCGGAACAGCGGGUGGAGCGGUGAAAUGCGUUGAUAUCCGCUGGAACACCGGUGGCGAAAGCGGCUUACUGGGUCUUUUCUGACGCUGAGGCACGAAAGCUAGGGUAGCGAACGGGAUUAGAUACCCCGGUAGUCCUAGCCGUAAACGAUGAGCACUUGACGGGAGACUCCUCCAUAGGUUUCCGGUCGUAGCGAAAGUGAUAAGUGCUCCGCCUGGGGAGUAUGGCCGCAAGGCUGAA
rnacentral:rRNA from 1 species